rnacentral:rRNA from 1 species
GCGCUGACGAGUGGCGGACGGGUGAGUAACGCGUAGGAAUCUGCCUUAUAGUGGGGGACAACGUGGGGAAACCCACGCUAAUACCGCAUACGCCCUACGGGGGAAAGGAGGGGAUCUUCGGACCUCGCGCUAAUAGAUGAGCCUGCGUUAGAUUAGCUUGUUGGUGGGGUAAAGGCCUACCAAGGCGACGAUCUAUAGCUGGUCUGAGAGGACGAUCAGCCACACUGGGACUGAGACACGGCCCAGACUCC